UCCGUAGGCGGAUUGAUAAGUCAGAGGUGAAAUCCCACAGCUUAACUGUGGAACUGCCUUUGAAACUGUUAGUCUUGAGUUAUAUGGAAGUAGAUAGAAUGUGUAGUGUAGCGGUGAAAUGCAUAGAGAUUACACAGAAUACCGAUUGCGAAGGCAGUCUACUACGUAUAUACUGACGCUAAUGGACGAAAGCGUGGAGAGCGAACAGGAUUAGAUACCCUGGUAGUCC
rnacentral:rRNA from 1 species